AUGGAGCCCUUUUAUACGCUCCAGCGGCAGUGUUGGGUCGGGCAGUCGCCUUCUCCGGGCCAGGGCAGCAUCGCACAUGUGACCCCGCUGGGCCCUGAGCAGCUGCGGCGGGUCCUGAAGCAGGUCACGAAGGCGCAGCUGCUGCCUCCGAGGCCCAGUAGGUCGCCCUCCAGCGGGACCCUGGCGCUGAGGCCCCUCGCCCACCGCGCCUGCUGCUGUCCCAGCCCUGCCCGGGGCUCCUCUGUGCUGCCUGGCUCUUCUUACACGCUUUUGACCACUCGUUCAGCCUUUGUGGAGCGCUCAGAGACGGGGUAUCCGGCACUCCCACCUAAAUGCAGGAGGUGCAGCCUUCAACACACUCGAAGAACGAACAUCAGGCAGGUUCUGCGAAAGCAACUAGACGCCAUUUGUGUCAAGGUAACGUCUGGAGAAACAAAAGGUCAGGAACGGCCAACGUCCCUACUGGCCACAAUCCAGCCCCAAUCUGCAAGACAGCCAGCCGCCCUGGGGGAAUUCCCACCUGGUGGGGCUCCACAUCACCAGCCUUCAGCUGCUCAGGGUACAGCCCCUCGUGAGAACCGAGCUACGGUCAUGUCUCCUAAGUGACCUACAGCAGCCUCCUGCUCAGGCGCUUGUAUAGAGACCACUGCCAGCCCUCCAGGUGGUCCCUGCAAAGAGAGUCCCAGCCCUCAAGGCUCCAAAUGGACAGGGCUCCAUGUUGACCCCUUUGUCGGCCUCCAAUCGACAUGUUUAAUCCAGUUCAGCACAUUUAUUUAUUUCCAACUUGCAUAUAAAACAUACUGAGAAACUAAAACCAUCGUUAAAAGUGAAGACACAUUGAGACGGGUAUCUCGACCUACCAAGUAUAAAGCUAAAGAUAAGUUCAUAAAAAGGGAUGAUUUGGCGGACGGUCAUCUGUCAGAUUCUGAUGAUGAUUCAGAACUCAGCGUGGAAGAAGAUCAGAGGGAGAGGCAGGCGCUCUUUGACUUAUCAAGCUGCUCCCUGAGGUCCCAAAGCUUUAAGUGUCAGACUUGUAAAAAGUCAUAUGUAGGGAGGUGGGGACUGGCGCAGCAUUUUAAACUUAAUCCAGGCCAUGGCCAGCUGGACCCUGAGAUGGUGCUGUCUGAGAAAGCCAAUGAGAGCACCGUCCGGGGGUGCACGGCGGAAAGGACGCUCGGCCUGAGCUCCCCGGGGCUGUCCAUGCCAGCGGCUCCGCAUGAGGGAGGGGCCGGCCGGCUCCUGCUUGGUGACAGUCAGCAUGCGGUGGCCUGCAGGGUUACAGAGUGGAAAGUCCCACAAUCUUUUUCUUCUCUAUUUUCAGAAAAACACCUCUUGGUGAGAAUGCACAGAAGGGAAUGCUUAUACACUGUUGGUGAAUUGUCACCCCUGCAACUCAGCCUGCAACCAGCCCUGGCCACCACCAGUUUCCCCACACUGAGCUGAAUAUUGGUCAUGCCCAUCUUAGACAUUCCAGCCCAUUCUGAAAUUCCACAUCGAUUCACCCGACAAAGUCUGAAGUUCCAGGGCAAUUUAUCUGGAAAAGCUCACCUGGAAUCACGUGUCACUUCAACCAACAACUAUGGAAGAGGACGUGGCAUCAAAACCAAGGGUAUCAAUUAUUUAUAA